UACGGGGGGGGCAAGCGUUGUUCGGAAUUACUGGGCGUAAAGGGCUCGUAGGCGGCCAACUAAGUCAGACGUGAAAUCCCUCGGCUUAACCGGGGAACUGCGUCUGAUACUGGAUGGCUUGAGGUUGGGAGAGGGAUGCGGAAUUCCAGGUGUAGCGGUGAAAUGCGUAGAUAUCGAGAGGAACACCUGCGGCGAAGGCGGGUUGCUGGGCUGACACUGACGCUGAUGCGCGAAAGCCAGGGGUGCGAACGGG
rnacentral:rRNA from 1 species